UACGGAGGGUGCAAGCGUUGUCCGGAUUUAUUGGGUUUAAAGGGUGCGUAGGCGGCUUUAUAAGUCAGUGUUGAAAUACUACAGCUUAACUGUGGAACUGGCAUUGAUACUGUAGAGCUUGAGUUCAGUUGAGGUAGGCGGAAUUGAUGGUGUAGCGGUGAAAUGCUUAGAUAUCAUCAAGAACAUCUAUUGCGAAGGCAGCUUGCUAAGCUGAAACUGACGCUGAGGCACGAAAGCGUGGGGAUCGAACAGG
rnacentral:rRNA from 1 species